AUCACUUCUCGGCCUUUUGGCUAAGAUCAAGUGUAGAAACUCUAGAACACAUGAUGAUUACUUUAUUCACUUUGCUUUGUGGCUGAUUUCUGUCUUCACUUUAUUUGUCCUCUCUUGGUGAAUCUAGUUUGAUUAUUUGUUUAAUCCCAAAAUACCU
ensembl:snRNA U2 U2 spliceosomal RNA